GAUUAAGUUAUUAAGGGCGCACGGUGGAUGCCUUGGCACUAGAAGCCGAAGAAGGACGUUACUAACGACGAUAUGCUUUGGGUAGCUGUAAGUAAGCGUUGAUCCAGAGAUUUCCGAAUGGGGGAACCCAACAUGAGUUAUGUCAUGUUAUCGACAUGUGAAUUCAUAGCAUGUCAGAAGGCAGACCCGGAGAACUGAAACAUCUUAGUACCCGGAGGAAGAGAAAGAAAAAUCGAUUCCCUGAGUAGCGGCGAGCGAAACGGGAAGAGCCCAAACCAACAAGCUUGCUUGUUGGGGUUGUAGGACACUCUAUACGGAGUUACAAAAGAACAUGUUAGACGAAUCAUCUGGAAAGAUGAAUCAAAGAAGGUAAUAAUCCUGUAGUCGAAAACAUAUUCUCUCUUGAGUGGAUCCUGAGUACGACGGAGCACGUGAAAUUCCGUCGGAAUCUAGGAGGACCAUCUCCUAAGGCUAAAUACUCUCUAGUGACCGAUAGUGAACCAGUACCGUGAGGGAAAGGUGAAAAGUACCCCGGAAGGGGAGUGAAAGAGAACUUGAAACCGUGUGCUUACAAGUAGUCAGAGCCCGUUUAUGGGUGAUGGCGUGCCUUUUGUAGAAUGAACCGGCGAGUUACGAUCUGAUGCAAGGUUAAGCAGCGAAUGUGGAGCCGUAGCGAAAGCGAGUCUGAAUAGGGCGUUGAGUAUUUGGUCGUAGACCCGAAACCAGGUGAUCUACCCUUGGUCAGGUUGAAGUUCAGGUAACACUGAAUGGAGGACCGAACCGACUUACGUUGAAAAGUGAGCGGAUGAACUGAGGGUAGCGGAGAAAUUCCAAUCGAACUUGGAGAUAGCUGGUUCUCUCCGAAAUAGCUUUAGGGCUAGCCUCAAGUGAUGAUUAUUGGAGGUAGAGCACUGUUUGGACGAGGGGCCCCUCUCGGGUUACCGAAUUCAGACAAACUCCGAAUGCCAAUCAAUUUAACUUGGGAGUCAGAACAUGGGUGAUAAGGUCCGUGUUCGAAAGGGAAACAGCCCAGACCACCAGCUAAGGUCCCAAAAUAUAUGUUAAGUGGAAAAGGAUGUGGCGUUGCCCAGACAACUAGGAUGUUGGCUUAGAAGCAGCCAUCAUUUAAAGAGUGCGUAAUAGCUCACUAGUCGAGUGACACUGCGCCGAAAAUGUACCGGGGCUAAACAUAUUACCGAAGCUGUGGAUUGUCCUUCGGACAAUGGUAGGAGAGCGUUCUAAGGGCGUUGAAGCAUGAUCGCAAGGACAUGUGGAGCGCUUAGAAGUGAGAAUGCCGGUGUGAGUAGCGAAAGACGGGUGAGAAUCCCGUCCACCGAUUGACUAAGGUUUCCAGAGGAAGGCUCGUCCGCUCUGGGUUAGUCGGGUCCUAAGCUGAGGCCGACAGGCGUAGGCGAUGGAUAACAGGUUGAUAUUCCUGUACCACCUAGUAUCGUUUUAAUCGAUGGGGGGACGCAGUAGGAUAGGCGAAGCGUGCUGUUGGAGUGCACGUCCAAGCAGUAAGGCUGAGUGUUAGGCAAAUCCGGCACUCGUUAGGCUGAGCUGUGAUGG
rnacentral:rRNA from 1 species